rfam:Chryseobacterium sp. SCN 40-13 ABS44_C0029, whole genome shotgun sequence.
GGGGCUGACCGGUUUCGACAGCAAGACCAAUGGGUAAGUAAGCAUGCAGAGAACCGCAGCGCGAUCUCUUAAAUCCCUUGCUGCACAUUUUUAACUGGCAACCAAGAGUAUGCUCUUGCUGCUUAAUCUGAAUUAUAGUAGGAUAAGCGUUUUUCCCGAAGUAUAGUAAGGAAACAAGAUGUCCCGCAGAAGCUCUGUUUCGCAGCGUCUGAGUCCGGGGCAUAGAAAAAGCGAAAAUAAGUCCGGGAAAACUUCGGUUCCGGAACGAAAACUUCAGAAGAUAAGCUGUAAAUUGGGUGUUUGCUCUCUGUUUACAGUCGAAAAUCAAUAGCAGAAUAAGCAUGUAGAAAGCUUGCGUAUUGCUUGUUUGGACGAGAGUUCGAAUCUCUCCAGCUCCACCA